rnacentral:lncRNA from 1 species
GAGAUCCUUUAGGCCACUGUCAAGAAGACCAAUGCUGACACCUCUCCAACUCCAUUUAUUGUGGAACUUAGUUUUUCUAAAGUACUGAUUUGUGAAUACAUCCAACUAGUCUAUGUGCAUAUCCAAACGACAGACUGUUUAUCCUUAUUAUUCCUUUAAUAAUCAAGACCAUCACUGGGCUGGGGGCAGAGUGUAAGUAUAAAACCUUCUGGACUUCAAGUCUCUGAUAUUUUUGAGUGGUGUUUUAUUUUUCAGAUGUAUUUUUU